UGCGCCUGCGGCGGGUCAGGCACGGAUCAUCCAUGCGCUUCGCAGGCAGCCGAUCCGUGUACGAUUCGGUAUAUCCUUGAAUUUCAAGGAUUUAACGGUUUC
rnacentral:sRNA from 1 species